rnacentral:rRNA from 1 species
ACGGGUGAGUAAUACAUCGGAACGUGCCCAAUCGUGGGGGAUAACGCAGCGAAAGCUGUGCUAAUACCGCAUACGAUCUACGGAUGAAAGCAGGGGAUCGCAAGACCUUGCGCGAAUGGAGCGGCCGAUGGCAGAUUAGGUAGUUGGUGAUGUAAAGGCUCACCAAGCCUUCGAUCUGUAGCUGGUCUGAGAGGACGACCAGCCACACUGGGACUGAGACACGGCCCAGACUCCUACGGGAGGCAGCAGUGGGGAAUUUUGGACAAUGGGCGAAAGCCUGAUCCAGCCAUGCCGCGUGCAGGAUGAAGGCCUUCGGGUUGUAAACUGCUUUUGUACGGAACGAAACGGUCUUUUCUAAUAAAGAAGGCUAAUGACGGUACCGUAAGAAUAAGCACCGGCUAACUACGUGCCGGCAGCCGCGGUAAUACGUAGGGUGCAAGCGUUAAUCGGAAUUACUGGGCGUAAAGCGUGCGCAGGCGGUGAUGUAAGACAGUUGUGAAAUCCCCGGGCUCAACCUGGGAACUGCAUCUGUGACUGCAUCGCUGGAGUACGGCAGAGGGGGAUGGAAUUCCGCGUGUAGCAGUG